rnacentral:rRNA from 1 species
UACGUAGGGUGCGAGCGUUAAUCGGAAUUACUGGGCGUAAAGCGUGCGCAGGCGGUUUUGUAAGCCGGAUGUGAAAUCCCCCGGCUUAACCUGGGAACUGCGUCUGAUACUGGGAGGCUUGAGUAUGGGAGAGGGAUGUAGAAUUCCAGGUGUAGCGGUGAAAUGCGUAGAUAUCUGGAGGAACACCGGUGGCGAAGGCGGCAUCCUGGACCGGCAUUGACGCUGAGGCGCGAAAGCUAGGGGAGCAAACGGG